rnacentral:rRNA from 1 species
UACGUAGGGUGCAAGCGUUACUCGGAAUUACUGGGCGUAAAGCGUGCGUAGGUGGUUCGUUAAGUCUGCCGUGAAAUCCCCAGGCUUAACCUGGGAAUGGCAUUGGAUACUGGCAGUCUAGAGUGCGGUAGAGGGGUGUGGAAUUCCCGGUGUAGCAGUGAAAUGCGUAGAUAUCGGGAGGAACAUCUGUGGCGAAGGCGACACCCUGGACCAGCACUGACACUGAGGCACGAAAGCGUGGGGAGCAAACAGG